rnacentral:rRNA from 1 species
ACCGACUUCGGUUGGUUUGAGACCGGCGCACGGGUGAGUAACGCGUACGCAACCUGCCCUUAACAGAGGGAUAGCCCUGGGAAACUGGGAUUAAUACCUCAUAGCUUGUUCGGAUCGCAUGGUUUGAACAAUAAAGCUCAGGUGGUUAAGGAUGGGCGUGCGUCUGAUUAGGUAGUUGGUGAGGUAAUGGCUCACCAAGCCAACGAUCAGUAGGGGGCGUGGGAGCGUGACCCCCCACACGGGUACUGAGACACGGACCCGACUCCUACGGGAGGCAGCAGUAAGGAAUAUUGGACAAUGGGCGAGAGCCUGAUCCAGCCAUCCCGCGUGCAGGAUGACGGCCCUACGGGUUGUAAACUGCUUUUCUGUACCAAGAAACCUAUCCAUUUAUGGGUAGCUGACGGUAGUGCAGGAAUAAGCACCGGCUAACUCCGUGCCAGCAGCCGCGGUAAUACGGAGGGUGCAAGCGUUAUCCGGAAUCACUGGGUUUAAAGGGUGCGCAGGCGGGCUUGUAAGUCAGUGGUGAAAUACUGCCGCUUAACGGUAGAAUUGCCAUUGAUACUGCGAGUCUUGAGUAUGGUUGAGGUAGGCGGAAUGUGCAGUGUAGCGGUGAAAUGCAUAGAGAUUGCACAGAACGCCGAUUGCGGAGGCAGCUUACUAAGCCAUAACUGACGCUGAGGCACGAAAGCGUGGGGAGCGAACAGGAUUAGAUACCCUGGUAGUCCACGCUGUAAACGAUGUUCACUCGCUGUUUGCGAUACACAGUAAGCGGCUGAGCGAAAGCAUUAAGUGAACCACCUGGGGAGUACGAUCGCAAGGUUGAAACUCAAAGGAAUUGACGGGGGCCCGCACAAGCGGAGGAACACGUGGUUUAAUUCGAUGAUACGCGAGGAACCUUACCUGGGCUUAAAUGUAGGCUGCAUGAAGUAGAAAUACUUCUUUCCUUCGGGACUGCUUACAAGGUGCUGCAUGGUUGUCGUCAGCUCGUGCCGUGAGGUGUCGGGUUAAGUCCCAUAACGAGCGCAACCCUUAUCGCUAGUUGCUAGCAGGUAAAGCUGAGGACUCUAGCGAGACUGCCACCGUAAGGUGAGAGGAAGGUGGGGAUGACGUCAAAUCAGCACGGCCCUUAUGUCCAGGGCUACACACGUGUUACAAUGGCCGGUACAGAGGGAAGCUACCUGGUGACAGGUUGCCAAUCUUAAAAGCCGGUCUCAGUUCGGAUUGGAGUCUGCAACCCGACUCCAUGAAGUUGGAUUCGCUAGUAAUCGCGCAUCAGCCAUGGCGCGGUGAUACGUUCCCGGGCCUUGUACACACCGCCCGUCAAACCAUGGGAGCUGGGGGUGCCUGAAGUCUGUGACCGAGAGGAGCGGCC